rnacentral:rRNA from 1 species
AUUGAACGCUGGCGGCAGGCCUAACACAUGCAAGUCGAGCGGAUGAAGGGAGCUUGCUCCUGGAUUCAGCGGCGGACGGGUGAGUAAUGCCUAGGAAUCUGCCUGGUAGUGGGGGAUAACGUCCGGAAACGGGCGCUAAUCCCGCAUACGUCCUGAGGGAGAAAGUGGGGGAUCUUCGGACCUCACGCUAUCAGAUGAGCCUAGGUCGGAUUAGCUAGUUGGUGGGGUAAAGGCCUACCAAGGCGACGAUCCGUAACUGGUCUGAGAGGAUGAUCAGUCACACUGGAACUGAGACACGGUCCAGACUCCUACGGGAGGCAGCAGUGGGGAAUAUUGGACAAUGGGCGAAAGCCUGAUCCAGCCAUGCCGCGUGUGUGAAGAAGGUCUUCGGAUUGUAAAGCACUUUAAGUUGGGAGGAAGGGCAGUAAGUUAAUACCUUGCUGUUUUGACGUUACCAACAGAAUAAGCACCGGCCAACUUCGUG